CCGGGGCGUGGCCUCCCGCAGGUGAGUACGCUGCUCCUUCGGUUUCCCUGAAACCUAACCCGCCCUGGGGAGGCGCGCAGCAGAGGCUCCGAUUCGGGGCAGGUGAGAGGCUGACUUUCUCUCGGUGCGUCCAGUGGAGCUCUGAGUUUCGAAUCGGCGGCGGCGGAUUCCCCGCGCGCCCGGCGUCGGGGCUUCCAGGAGGAUGCGGAGCCCCAGCGCGGCGUGGCUGCUGGGGGCCGCCAUCCUGCUAGCAGCCUCUCUCUCCUGCAGUGGCACCAUCCAAGGUGAGAA
rnacentral:lncRNA from 1 species